rnacentral:lncRNA from 1 species
AUAGGUAAGGACACAAAAAACUCAGGAUUGGAUAUUGACAGAAAAUAAACUUGUAUAAAAGAAUAAUAAAUAUUUAUUGAAGCAUAAAUAAAAGAUUAACAUAACGAUAUAAAGGUACUAACAAUAAUGCAUGAUUAAUUUAAACCUAACUCUACUUAACCCUAACGUAACUUACGUUACAAUAUUCAUUUGUGUAUUAAUAUAUUGUUUGGAGAGAGAAUGCAUGUUCCACGUCUUCCACAUAUCUGAGAGUGAGUUUGCCGGUGUUAUAUCAUAUCAAUAAUCCACCUUGACAGUAAUCCAUACAUUAUCACAAAAUGUUAAAAUGUUUACCAAUAAAACCAAUGUGGUUGCAAAGCUGAAAUCACUCGCCCCGCCGGUGAUUCCAGUUAAGCCGACCGGGCGGGGAUUUCAGCUUUUCCGUGGCGCCUCCUCGCGGUGCAACCGGGUAACGUUCUGUCCCUAUCCCGGUCUGAGGAGUUUGGCCUGCGCGGCAGGUGCAGCGCUGAAAAGGGCGACAUUUGUCGCGCUGGCGACCCUCCUCUGGGUGGCACCUGGCUGUCGUGGU